rnacentral:rRNA from 1 species
UACGUACCGUCCAAACGUUAUUCGGAAUCACUGGGCUUAAAGAGUUCGUAGGCGGCUCAGAAAGUUGGGUGUGAAAUCCCUCGGCUCAACCGAGGAAUUGCGCUCAAAACUACUGGGCUAGAGGGGAGAUAGAGGUGAGCGGAACUGAUGGUGGAGCGGUGAAAUGCGUUGGAUAUCAUCAGGAACACCGGAGGCGAAGGCGCUCACUGGGUCUUUCCUGACGCUGAGGAACGAAGGCCAGGGGAGCAACGGG